rnacentral:misc_RNA from 1 species
GGAAGUAAAGGUCGUAACAAGGUUUCCGUAGGUGAACCUGCGGAAGGAUCAUUCAUAAUAAGUGUUUUACUGCACCUUUUAAAAAUAGUACUCACCUUGUGUGCAAUGUUGUGUUUCUUUUCGGAGAAACACCUACACCAACCUAUAACCUUGAACCACUUUGUCUGAAAAACUAUUAUGAAUACUUAAUUCAAAAUACAACUUUCAACAACGGAUCUCUUGGCUCUC